GCCAGCAGCCAUAUCACCCUGCAGCUCUGGCUGGCUACCCACUGCAGCUGAGCCUUGUUAGUACCUGGAUGGGAGACCUCCUGGGAAGCUAAGGUUGCUGCUGGAA
rnacentral:rRNA from 1 species